rnacentral:rRNA from 1 species
AUUGAACGCUGGCGGAAUGCUUUACACAUGCAAGUCGAACGGCAGCACGGGGGCAACCCUGGUGGCGAGUGGCGAACGGGUGAGUAAUACAUCGGAACGUGCCCGGUCGUGGGGGAUAACGUAGCGAAAGUUACGCUAAUACCGCAUACGAUCUGAGGAUGAAAGCGGGGGACCUUCGGGCCUCGCGCGAUCGGAGCGGCCGAUGUCAGAUUAGGUAGUUGGUGGGGUAAAGGCCUACCAAGCCGACGAUCUGUAGCUGGUCCGAGAGGACGACCAGCCACACUGGGACUGAGACACGGCCCAGACUCCUACGGGAGGCAGCAGUGGGGAAUUUUUGACAAUGGGCGCAAGCCUGAUCCAGCCAUUCCGCGUGCAGGACGAAGGCCUUCGGGUUGUAAACUGCUUUUGUAUGGAACGAAAAGGCUCUGGCUAAUACCUGGGGCUCAUGACGGUACCGUAAGAAUAAGCACCGGCUAACUACGUG